rnacentral:lncRNA from 1 species
ACUGCUCUUCCUUUCAAUGCCCCACUGACCAGCCUCCUUUCCAACAGAUCUCCUUUACAGAAAAGGGCUCAGAUGAGAAGAAGCCAUUCAAAGAAAAAGGCAAGACCCCUUCCUUCCAUUCCAGUGAGAAUCACAUGCAAAGGCAAGAUAAAGCCUUGGAGCCCAAUCUAAAUGAGAGGAAUUCUGAGGAAAUCAAGCUCAAAGAAACAAAUCGAGCUCACAUGGGGGAAACUCCAAGAACAGGAAAAUCAGUUCCAAGGACAGCUGCCAAGACAGAGCAGGGGCAUGUCGAGGAGAGGAGCGUAGCUCGAUGUUGAAAAAAAGAAACUAAAGUCCUCCACUGCUGUGCACAGCAGUGAAAUCCAGGAGACCUGUGACGCCCACAACAGAGGGCCUUUCAUGGCUCACACUGGGUGUGGCAAGUGACAUAGGUCUCGGGACCCAGGAGUUCAAUAGUCAUCACUACGGAAAGCUUGGUGACCUUGCAAGAUGUGUCAAAGGCCAUUUGUCUAGACCUAUCCCAGGUGUUGGUGAAGCAGGCUCAUUCUCCACUGACCUGGGAGUAGGUCACUCAGCUUGGCCAGCUCUGGGGACCUCUGUGUGCCCAGUUGCAGGCAUUCCAUAUUAUGGCCACCCAGGCAGGUUAUGUCUUCCCUGCUAAGAACUAGCUUGUUUCAGCCACACUGGCUGGCCCUGUGGAUCCAGCCCUGUAGAAAGAACCCCACCUCUUGCAUGAGCAGGAGUUAACUGAGCCUGUUAGUAGAUCAGAUGAGGCUUGAGC